GAGUUGAUAAAACUCCGUGGGCAAAAUAACCACCUCUUUACCGGGGCCAAAAACACUGCCGCAGUCGGAUGGAGAACAAUCCUGCAAAAAACGGGCCUGGAGGGUGAAGUUGAGCCACAACAGGCCAAAAAAAAGUGGGACAACUUGAAAAAAAAAAAAUACAAAGGAUGUUCAGGAAUGCAAAGAUCCAGGGACAGGGCAGGGGGUCAGUGGGAAGCCUACUGCUGCCACCUGGCCAUGGUUUGUCCUCAUGUUCUGUGUUGCUGUUAUUGUU